rnacentral:sRNA from 1 species
UGAUAUUGAAGUCGUAUACAGCGAACAUAAUGUAUUGGGACCUUUUGUUAUUUCUCUUCUAAAUGCACAUAACCUCUACAGUGUUACUCCAACCAUCUUUUUUUGACAACUGAACAUCCGAGGCAGAUAAGUAAAAGGAGGGGAAGGGACCAAAAAUCAGAAAUCAAAAACCUAAACACCAAACUGAAGCCAAAGAGAAACAAACCUACUAUGUAUAUAUUUUGUGCCAUGUCCCCCAACCAUUGUUGAAAAUGCGCUUUCUUUUCCAGGCACACACCCUCUAAUAACAAGUGCAAGGUAAACAGUAUGGAAAAUAAGGACUGGAUCGCGGAAGAUAUAACAAUAUGAGAUUAAAAAAACCCUUACAUAAAAUUCGAAGAAAACGAUGAGAGCGGGGCUGACAUUGAAGAAAAUGCUAUCGCCAGAGACGCUAUGUAUAUACGCAUGUACAGUAUAUAUAUGAGUGUGUUUAAAUAUCCUCGAGAUUUGUGCUGCCACCAUAUAAGGACCCAAUUCGUGUACCUAGAGAGAUCACCAUGUGUCUUAGGAAAUGCUGAACUGGAUUGUUUUGAUUUCCUUCCAACCAGAGGAGCUCUUAGCGAUUGAAAACCCCAGAGUCGAAAGCCAUUGAGACUGGACAUCGAGAUACGCCGCAUUCCUUCCAAGGAGUAGAGUUAACCAAUCAGGAGGAGACUGUCAAAUUCCAGAUUCCUAUUUCGUGUUGGCUGUCGUAGUGGCCGUGGCAUCCGUAGCAGAGGUGCUUCCUCGAUUGCGCAUAGCCGAUGAGGUAGCCACAGUCUCAUCCUUCUCUGUAGGUUGGGCAUCACUAUCUUUUCCUGGCUGGAUCACAUACUCGUCACAUCGCUCGACUAGGCGCUGAUAAUAAUCCUCCAGGACCUCAGGCUGAGGCACGAUACGCCACUCAACCCGCCACAGAAAUUCUAACUCUAAUAGCGCCAGUUCGGCGAUGCUGAUUCCACCAACUCUGGCGUAAGUCUUGUUUGUCCAAAAGCUGUCACUGAGACCCUUACUCGCCACGGUAGCGCUGCUGAUCAAAAAUCGGUGUACAGUGAGGCUCGAGACUGUAAAUGCAGGAUAAAGAGCACAUAAUCGGUCAAUAUAAUACACCAUACUUAAAAGGAUAGGAGGGGAAAGGGUGGCAUGCGUUGUUAGGCGCUGGAGGUAGUCAUGGACGGAGAUUCGAGGAGGGCUGCGCGAAUGGAACCGUGUGAGGCGGCCAUCGCGGAGGGGGAUUUGGUCGUUAAAGCGGAUAAGCUCCAUUAACAUACUGGAGAUCAAAACGACGAGGUCGCGGGGAUUUGCUUCCUCGUAACGACAGGGAAGGACUUUAACAGCGGGGUUUUCAGGGCGCAGUCGCUUGGAGAGAGAUUCCGCCCGGUUGUCUGGGCCAAUUGAUUGCAGCUUUUCGCCAUCCGUAGCCAGAAGAUUAGAAGGAGCAGUAAUGUUGCGCUUCGAGCCUACGAGAGUCGAUGGCAUUUGCGGGUCAGUCAGUGACUGGACGCCCUCCUGGCUUUGUUGUGACGUAGGAAGUUCAGAAGUGGCAUUGGUGGACUCUGCAGAUAUCGUCUCGCCAGCAGCCGUUGGAGCCGAAUGGUUCAGCUUGUUAUUCGCUGGGGUAGCCGGGCGAGAGUACUGGGUUCCCGCAUCUACAGUCUGCCUUCGAAAGGCUGAUUGUAUUUCCUCGACGCCCGAACUGCCGUGGGAAUCAGACGAGCGUCGCCGGGGUCGUGAAGGUCUAGGAGAAUGAAGUGGGUUGGAAUUGCUUAUUAAAGGGGAAGUCGUGGACAGGUUAUUAUUGUUUUGCCUGCAAGCGGCGGCUGUAGGACUGUAGUGUUGAGAGCACCCUGGAAAGGCUUUGGCAGGAGAAUGGGUGGGAUCAGCGCGCAGAAGCGCAGCCGACGUGGGAGAUGAGGCUAUCAUGUCCUUUGUUCACAGAUAUCGGCCAGGACUGGAGCACGUGGGCGCAAUCGGCGGGCAGUGUGGGGGCAGGCAAAGGUAGUUAUGGCAAACGGAGGCCCUGCUAAAAUUAUGUGGAGACAGCGCCAGGGAGCCUGUCUGAGAUUCAGUCGGAUCAAGAGUCGCAGCAGCAGCAGCAACAGCAACAGCAGAAAUAGUAAUAGGAGGAGUGGGAGUGGAAAGCAAGGUGGGAGAAGCCAAUAAGCCAGAGCUUUCCAAACCAACAGGCGUCCCGCAAAAGCGCAUCUUGCUCUGCGA